rnacentral:pre_miRNA from 1 species
AAAAAAAAAAACCCUGAGUUUCGUAUCCGUUUUAUAUGAAAUUUUUUUAUAAUUAGUAUUUUCAUUGGUUAUUAGAUGAUAAAAUAUGAUCAAUAAUUUAUGCGUAACUUGUCUUUUUAAUUUUUUCCUAAUUUUUUCAAAUAAGACGGACAGUCAAACGUUGAACACGGAAAUCCAGGGUUUGUCUUUUU